rnacentral:rRNA from 1 species
UCUUGGUCAUUUAGAGGAAGUAAAAGUCGUAACAAGGUUUCCGUAGGUGAACCUGCGGAAGGAUCAUUAGUGAAUUGAAUAUGUUAGCGGACCUCUUCGGAGUCCCUAGCAUCAAAUCAUAUCCAUAACACCUGUGAACUGUAAGGCUGUCUUGAAAACGAAAGUGAUUAGAGCGCCUGCCCAUUUUAUACAAACAUUAAAGUAACAAACGUAGUCUUAUUAUAAUCUAAUAAAACUUUCAACAACGGAUCUCUUGGCUCUCGCAUCGAUGAAGAACGCAGCGAAAUGCGAUAAGUAAUGUGAAUUGCAGAAUUCAGUGAAUCAUCGAAUCUUUGAACGCACCUUGCGCUCUUUGGUAUUCCGAAGAGCAUGCCUGUUUGAGUGUCAUGAAAAUAUCAACCUUGACUUGGGUUUAGUGCUCUUGUCUUGGCUUGGAUUUGGCUGUUUGCCGCUCGAAAGAGUCGGCUCAGCUUAAAAGUAUUAGCUGGAUCUGUCUUUGAGACUUGGUUUGACUUGGCGUAAUAAGUUAUUUCGCUGAGGACAAUCUUCGGAUUGGCCGAGUUUCUGGGACGUUUGUCCGCUUUCUAAUACAAGUUCUAGCUUGCUAGACAUGACUUUUUUAUUAUCUGGCCUCAAAUCAGGUAGGACUACCCGCUGAACUUAAGCAUAUCAAUA